CGGACUGGAUUAUCUGCAGAUCAGCAUCGACAAUGUUCAACCCGACGAGGUUUCGAAGAAAAGCCUGAAGGUGCUCGAUCGCAAGCUCGAAUGGCUGGCAAAGCAUGCGGAGUUCGCGGUAACAAUAAAUUCCGUGCUGGGCAGCGAGGUCAGAAAUCCGGAGGACGCGUAUGAGAUCGCUACUCGCGCCCGCGGCCUCGGGUUCAACAGCACCGUUGGGAUUCUGCAUGACGGUGAGGGGCAACUCCGGCCGCUGGGUGACCAUCAGCGCUGGGUGUACGACAGGAGC
rnacentral:misc_RNA from 1 species